CCCCCCCCUCCUUCCCCCUCCCACGCCGGGGUUCAAAGUACAGCCGUGUGGGGUACUGUGUGCUAUGGAGAUGUCAGCAAGGAGUUAAGGGCAGUUAACAUCCUAUACUUGCAAGUGGGAAAAGACUCAGAGAGGUUUGGAAGCUGGUUGGAUUUUGUCGUCACGACAAAAUGACUCCUCGCUCUCAGGAAGACCCCCACUUCGUCAAGAGAAUUCAGCGGAAUAUCCUCAAACUCUCUACCCUUCCUACCUACCUACCUUCCUACCUACCCCCCCACACCCCCCACAGCCUCACUUCCCUUCCUACCCCUGCAGAGGGUAAGGUGGCCCUCCUACUCAGAGCCCGCCCUUCUGUUGCAAUCCGCGA